rnacentral:rRNA from 1 species
GACGAAGGGGGCAAGCGUUGUUCGGAAUUAUUGGGCGUAAAGCGCUCGCAGGCGGCUUGCUACGUCAUGCGUGAAACACCCCGGCUCAACUGGGGAGGGUCGUGUGAUACGGGCAGGCUUGAGGCCAGUAGGGGGAUGCGGAAUUCCGGGUGUAGUGGUGGAAUGCGUAGAGAUCCGGAGGAACACCAGCGGCGAAGGCGGCAUCCUGGACUGGUACUGACGCUCAUGAGCGAAAGCGUGGGGAGCGAUCCGG